rnacentral:lncRNA from 1 species
CAGCGUUUAGAAGGCUCUUUAGAAGAUCCCUUUUGUAUAGUAGUGAUAAUGGUGACCUUGAAGACGAGCUUGACAACAUAUUUAAGGCAGGCAAGCAGCAUGGGUACAGUAACUCUUUUUUAAAUCGUAUAUUCAAACAGGUUAAAGAGAAUAAUAUCCAGGAGAAAGUAGAAGAGGACAGAGGAGCAGAGGUUGGGUAUACACUGGUCCCUUACCACUUGAGGAACUUGAGACCCGUUCGAAAAGUGCUUAAGCGAAAUAAAAGGAGAAUGGCGAUUAAAAGGAACCCGACAGUUUAUGAUCUAUUGAGAAAUGAAAAAGAUUCCCUACAGCAACCUGAAAGGAGCAGUGUUUAUAAAGUCCCGGUAACCAACAGUGAUACUAAAGCAGAAUCUAUUUACAUUGGGGUAACAUCAAGGACAAUAAGUAAGAGGAUGGCAGAGCAUAGAAGAGAUUUAAGACAAGGGAAUCUCGGUACGGCGCUUGCUAUACAGACGUACAGCGGAAACAUUAGUGUAAACUGAGAAGAUGUAAGGCAACUAAGACCACUUAGG